rnacentral:tRNA from 1 species
GGCAGUGUAGCUCAGUGGUAGAGUGCUUGCCUAGCAUGCAGAAGGCCAUGAAUUCAAUCCUUGGCACUGCAA